ACAGAUCGUUCAGAGUUUGAUCCUGGCUCAGGACGAACGCUGGCGGCGUGCUUAACACAUGCAAGUCGAGCGGAAAGGCCCUUUCGGGGGUACUCGAGCGGCGAACGGGUGAGUAACACGUGAGUAAUCUGCCCUUCACUUCGGGAUAACUACCGGAAACGGUGGCUAAUACCGGAUAUGACCACGUCUCGCAUGGGGUGUGGUGGAAAGCGUUUAGCGGUGGGGGAUGUGCUCGCGGCCUAUCAGCUUGUUGGUGAGGUAGUGGCUCACCAAGGCUUCGACGGGUAGCCGGCCUGAGAGGGUGACCGGCCACACUGGGACUGAGACACGGCCCAG
rnacentral:rRNA from 1 species